rfam:Myotis brandtii contig293754, whole genome shotgun sequence.
AAUAUAAUACUGGGUCACUGUGGCAGUCUCCCUUCCUAGCCAUGGAAGAGCAUUUUCUUGUUUAUUGGCAAAGCUGUCACCAUUUAAUUGGUAUCAGAUUCUGACUUGCACAAGUGACAUUC